UACAGAGGGUGCGAGCGUUUAAUCGGAAUUACUGGGCGUAAAGCGCGCGUAGGCGGCUUUGCAAGUCGGGUGUGAAAUCCCCAGGCUUAACCUGGGAACUGCAUUCGAGACUGCAUUGCUAGAGUAUGGGAGAGGGAAGUGGAAUUUCAGGUGUAGCGGUGAAAUGCGUAGAUAUCUGAAGGAACAUCAGUGGCGAAAGCGACUUCCUGGACCAAUACUGACGCUCAUGUGCGAAAGCGUGGGGAGCGAACAGG
rnacentral:rRNA from 1 species